rnacentral:lncRNA from 1 species
GGGAAGGGAGUGCCGGUGUUCGUGAUGAUGCCGCUGGACAGCGUGACGAUGUCGAAUACUGUGAAUAGAAAGAAGGCGAUCGACGCGAGUCUCAGGGCGUUGAAGAGCGCGGGAGUGGAAGGAGUUAUGAUGGACGUGUGGUGGGGCCUGGUCGAGAGGGACCAGCCCGGCCAUUACAAUUGGGGUGGCUAUUCUGACUUGCUCGAAAUGGCCAAACGACACGGCCUCAAGGUUCAGGCCGUCAUGUCGUUUCACCAGUGCGGCGGCAACGUCGGUGAUUCCGUCUCGUACGUAUUACUAUAAAUUUACUUUUUUUUUUUUCAAUUUCAUCCAUUGUUCCAUACUAGUUUAGCUAAUGUGCGUAACACGCCUCUAGAAGAGCGCGUGAUUUUAAUUUGCUUCAAAGUUGAGUCACUUUCCUUUCAUUUGGGAAAGAUUUCAUUCACAUGUGAUACAUGAAUAGAUCGUGCCAAGAUGAGAAUGAAUACACACGGGAUUACGUUGACGUACACGUUACGUUAAUUUAUUUAAUUUUUAAAAUUUAUUUAAUUUUUAAAAUUUAUUUAGGCUCUGUUUGCUAUAUCUAGAAAUCUCUCUAAAUAUGAUAUAAUUUUUUUAAUAGAAUUUAUUUAUCGUGAGAAGAACUUUUAUGUAGAACUUUUAACCAAAAAAUUUAGAUGUUUAAUUGUUAUCGAGAUUUUUUAUUAAAAAUCUAAAAUUAUUGGAUAAGCUUUUAAAAGUUUUGUUAAGAAAGGGAAGAGUUAAGAUUGUUAAAUAAUAAAGAAUAUUUUUAGAUAUUUUAAUAAGUUAUUUAACUUUUACUGUUAAAAGUUUAAAAUUAAAGGUUUUGUUGGUAUUGGGAAAAUAAUUUUUUUAAUUUUUAAAAGUUUUACUAAAAUAAUAAAGAAUUUAAAAAUAAUUUAUAGAAUUAAGUAAAUACAUAAUGUUAUUAGAUAAGCAUGUGAGAAGUUAUUACUUAAUUGGAUUUUGGAUAUCUUAAUUUUGAAAGUCAUCUGUCAAAUGAUGACGUGGAUUUUUAUAAUUGCCAAAAUGUUACUGUUCAAUGUUGGCAUAGUUAUGAAAAGACCAAAAUGUCCCUCACCUCAUUAAAAAUUUUGCGUUUUUACUUUUGUGUGCAGUAUCCCUUUACCCAAGUGGGUUGUAGAAGAAGUUGACAAAGACCAAGAUCUUGUGUACACUGAUCAAUGGGGGAUGAGGAAUUACGAGUACAUUUCACUAGGUUGUGAUACCAUUCCGGUCCUGAAAGGUCGAACGCCUGUCCAGUGUUACUCUGACUUCAUGCGUGCCUUCAAAGACAAGUUCAAGGACCUUCUUGGUGACACCAUUGUGGUAAAUACUCACAUAACUUGUUAGUACUUUUCAAUUUAGAUUGUUAUGGUAGAAGGCUGGUUGAUGAAUGCUAAAUUAUUUGUUACAUAUAGGAAAUCCAAGUGGGAAUGGGUCCAGCUGGUGAGCUGCGUUACCCUUCGUAUCCAGAGCAGAAUGGGACAUGGAAAUUCCCAGGAAUUGGAGCUUUCCAGUGUUAUGAUAAGGUAUUUGCUAAUUUUUUUUUUCUUGUGUUGUUUUGAGUCUGGUAAAUUUGCGGUGGGAUUUGUAGCGUGUGGUUCUCAUAUUGGUGUUUGAUGUCUUGAUGCAGUAUAUGCUCAGUAGCUUAAAAGCAGCAGCUGAAUCUGCUGGUAAGCCAGAAUGGGGCAGCACAGGCCCUACUGAUGCUGGACAUUACAACAACUGGCCAGAAGAUACACAGUUUUUCCGAAAAGAAAAUGGUGGUUGGUGUAGCCCUUAUGGUGAAUUUUUCCUAAGCUGGUAUUCGCAGAUGCUCUUAGAUCACGGAGAGAGAAUUCUCGCAUCUGCCAAGUCAAUUUUCGAUGCUACAGGUGUUAAGAUCUCGGUUAAGAUUGCAGGAAUCCACUGGCACUAUGGGUCUAGGUCCCAUGCCCCUGAGCUCACAGCUGGAUAUUACAAUACACGAUUCCGUGAUGGUUACCUCCCUAUUGCCCAGAUGCUAGCACGGCAUGGUGCCAUAUUCAACUUUACUUGCAUAGAGAUGCGUGAUCAUGAACAACCACAAGAUGCCCUUUGUGCACCUGAGAAGCUAGUCAAGCAAGUGGCUUCAGCAACUCAGACAGCACACGUUCCUCUGGCCGGGGAAAAUGCGUUGCCACGUUAU